AUUGAACGCUGGCGGCAGGCCUAACACAUGCAAGUCGAACGCGUGGCGGACGGGUGAGUAAUGUAUGGGAAAAUGCCUGUUGGAGGGUGAUAACUACUGGAAACGGUAGCUAAUACCGCAUACCCUAGGAUGUGCCCAGAUGGGGUUAGCUAGUAGGUGGGGUAAAGGCUCACCCAGGCGACGAUCCCUAGCUGGUGUUAGAGGAUGACCAGCCACACUGGAACUGAGACACGGUCCAGACUCCUACGGGGGGCAGCAGUGGGGAAUAUUGCACAAUGGGCGCAAGCCUGAUGCAGCCAUGCCGCGUGUAUGAAGAAGGCCUUCGGGUUGUAAAGUACUUUCAGCGGGGAGGCGUUACCCGCAGAAGAAGCACCGGCUAACUCCGUGCCAGCAGCCGCGGUAAUAC
rnacentral:rRNA from 1 species